rnacentral:precursor_RNA from 12 species
GUAUUCUCAACCUAUGACCUUCAACCUGUGACAUCCCAACUGGGCACACUGUUGUGAUGAUGGACAGAUGGUGUGCUUGUUUGGAUGUGGCAGUUUGCAAUGGGACAGACAUCCAGUGAU